CGCUGCGCUGGAUGGAGGAUGACAAUGUGCUGACAUAGUGAGGAGACGUCUGGGCGUCACAUUCUGCAGAGAGAAGUUUUAGCUGGAACAAGUCAUGGCGUGAGGGGUCGGUGCUGGACACUGUAGGGAACGGGAAUGCGAAGUUGAAUACAUCACUGUGAUUGAUGCACUAUUUCCAGGAUGUGGAGUAGCAUUUCCGGACUAUCAAGACGUUGUAAUAAGGCACAUAUUUCCGGACUUACAGCAAGAAGUUGGAUGAAGGCAUAAACCCUCGAAUCACGCACAUACACAGACACAUUUGUCCAAAUUAUAGAGGUAACCUCCUUUAGUAUGCCCAGAGGAAGGGCAAUACAGUAGCCAUGGAUUCCCUACAGGUUUCCUCCCCUCUGGAGGUUUUUCCUGUCCUGAGUUAGUUACUGUACGCUCUUUGUGAGUGAUGGAAGGUUACAAAAAUCCCUACACAAACAUUUUAAUAAAUAAUAAAGUUCCCCUGUUAUUAAACCAUUCUUUGACUUGUU